GCAUAUCAAUAAGCGGAGGAAAAGAAACCAAACAGGGAUUGCCCUAGUAACGGCGAGUGAAGCGGCAACAGCUCAAAUUUGAAAUCUGGCUCUUUUAGGGUCCGAGUUGUAAUUUGCAGAGGGUGCUUUGGCAAAGGUUGUGGUCUAAGUUCCUUGGAACAGGACGUCACAGAGGGUGAGAAUCCCGUACGUGGCCGCCAACCCGCGCUAUGUAAAGCCCCUUCGACGAGUCGAGUUGUUUGGGAAUGCAGCUCUAAAUGGGAGGUAAAUUUCUUCUAAAGCUAAAUAUUGGCCAGAGACCGAUAGCGCACAAGUAGAGUGAUCGAAAGAUGAAAAGCACUUUGGAAAGAGAGUCAAAAAGCACGUGAAAUUGUUGAAAGGGAAGCGCUUGCAGCCAGACUUGCCUGUAGUUGCUCAUCCGGGCUCUUGCCCGGUGCACUCUUCUAUGGGCAGGCCAGCAUCAGUCUUGGCGGUCGGAUAAAUGCGUGCUAAACGUACCUCUCUUCGGGGAGGACUUAUAGGGCACGCGGCAUACGACCAGCCGGGACUGAGGUCCGCGCAUCUGCUAGGAUGCUGGCGUAAUGGCUGUAAGCGGCCCGUCUUGAAACACGGACCAAGGAGUCUAACAUCUAUGCGAGUGUUUGGGUGUCAAGCCCGAGCGCGUAAUGAAAGUGAACGGAGGUGGGAACCCCUCGGGGUGCACCAUCGACCGAUCCUGAUGUCUUCGGAUGGAUUUGAGUAAGAGCAUAGCUGUUGGGACCCGAAAGAUGGUGAACUAUGCCUGAAUAGGGUGAAGCCAGAGGAAACUCUGGUGGAGGCUCGCAGCGGUUCUGACGUGCAAAUCGAUCGUCAAAUUUGGGCAUAGGGGCGAAAGACUAAUCGAACUAUCUAGUAGCUGGUUCCUGCGA
rnacentral:rRNA from 1 species